GGUCAGCGCGGCUUGCUCGGAAACCGCGUUGCGGGUUGCUUCUUCCUUGGUGGCGGCCGCACCGCACCGCACCGCACCGCACCGCACGGCGGCGACGACCUGCAGGCGGCUUGUCCCGUCACAGGCGGCCGCCGAGGAUGUCAGCGCAUGUUCCAGAACAUUAGGCACAAGACCAGGCCCUGCAGUAUGUGGGAUGAUGCAGGAGCAGCAGCUACUGUACAGGAAAGUAGAUGCUGCACUGAGGAGAGAGUAUGAUUGACAGAGCCUCAAGAGGAUGGGGUGUAUCUGAAGACAGCCAUUGGGCAUGCCUUCUCCACCAGAAUAGCACAGUGGCUGACUCCAGAAGGACUACAAGAGGUGAAAUCCCCAAUCUAAAUGAAAAAGGCAGCCCCUCAAACCCCUCCAAUUCUAUACAUAAUAAUACAUUCAAAUCUGUACAACCAAAGCAUUUUCAUACCUAACUAAUUGAGCUAAAUCCUGAAGACUCUGCUUGGGGUCCAUCUAUCACACACUGAGGUCAGCAUAUGUUAGCUCAGUCCCUUUCCAAGUGAGACCCAGUGAGAAUUUUACCAGAAAAAGAAUUAACAAAUUCUGAUGAAGGGCUUCAGAAUGUGUCCUGUGCCUGUUAGCUGACAGCAUUUGUAAGUGUCUGAAAGCACCAACACAAGAGUGGAGAAGCAUCAGCAACUUCCAGGAGAUGAGCCAAAGUCUCUCUUCCUCUUCAAUCAAAACCACUUGCUUCUGAGACGCUCAGUCCAGAUGUCUCCUUACUGUAUAAUUGAUGUGGUAGUGCACAAAGGCUCAUGGGUUCAGGACCAUGUUGCACUUAGCACAGUACAGAUGAGCAGGAAGACACAGGUGCUUCCCUGAAGUAAUUUAAUCUGGGUUCCUCAACUCACUGCCAGAAAAACUCAUAGAAAUGAAAAAUCUUACAAGGGAACUGAAAGCUGCAAGAUUUGAUUCUGGCUAAUUUUGGCAAGCAAUGAGUUUUACAGUUAUGGGCCUUCCAUAGACAAUAUGGUGGUUCUAACACUCAUGAGUGGGAGGCUGUCAGAAGCUGUACUGUCCCCAAUGAGGGGAAAUAAUGUGAAAAAUGAUAUGAAGAAAGGUGGUGUUUGGAAUAGCCUGGUCACGGCUGGUUGCAGUAGGGACCCAGAAUUGGAUUGAAAGCUGAUGUGAGUCACAGAACCAAAGUUUGCUGCAUCUGGGAGGCAGGCUGCCAUGAGUCAUUUGUAACUUUCAGGUGAACCAUGAAAUGUUAUUCUGCUUUGAAGAGUGAUUGUAAAACACUUUGUUUGCUUCCCGCUAAUACCACAUCCAACAUCAUCUCUUUACAACUUAAAAGGGUGUUGGACCAACUUUCGACCUUCAGACUCAUCCUGAGGCCUGAAACUCAAAUUGGGCUCCUUCUAUCACCCAUAAUCUCAGCUGCAUUCUGAGUUUUGUUAACACCAUGGCUCUGAGUAUGUGGUCCUCCUCCCUGUUGCAGUCUUGUUGGCUCUGCAGGGCUAAUAAAAUUAUUUCAGAGACUUUUAUAACCCUCUACAUGAAGCUGGCAGGUCAGCUGAAAAUUCCCAAGGGCAGAUCACCCAAGUAAGGGGUUCUCCAUUCUACAUGCCUUGGGCUACCUGUGGUGUUAGCUCACUGUGAGAAAUUCCUUUCUGAGAACUCCCAAGGCAGGAUUGUCAUUGCACUGACAUACCAUUCUAGCACAGCUUGUGACACCUGUAUUCAGCUACUGCAACAAGAGGGAAAUUAGUUGUCCCCCUAUAUGUUCUACUUGAAUGAGUCAUUGAGAGCUGGUGACACAGCAACGUUUAAGUAGAUGAUAGAGAGGUUUUUAAUGUCUUUAGCUGUAACAGUGUGCAGCACUUGUCUGCAUGACUCCUUUUACUUUGCCAGAGAGUGAUAUCUUUGGUAUUAGCAAGUCCUUGCUAGGAAUCACAAGUGGUAGAAAAUAAAAGCACCAGCCUAACAAACUGCAUCCUCACCAUGUAAUUAAAGAAGAUUCAAAACCUUGCAGCAGUGACAGCAGACAGCCUUUCAGUCUGUAUCCCAAAGCAUAGGAUCCCAUUUCCAAGGCACUUGGUAGACCCCUGUAUGGAAGACUUUUUCUAAGUAAUAAGACUAGCUCUAUCUCAUUCUGGCAAUCAAGAAGCUCAUAACAUUGUGAGUUAUCACAGGUCUACUGCAAUGCUGUAGAAAGGGCCAAGCCAAAGGAGCAAAGCACAUGCAAUCUGAGUUGGUGGACCUGCAGGAUCAUCAUUCUAAACCAUCAUGAGACUGGGGAUACAAAAGAGCUCAGGAAACUAUAGUGCAAAUCUGAGUUCAGAAGCACAGUAUGGAGAUGGGGAGGUAGAGGAGCAGUACUGAUGGUAGUUGGUGAGCAGAGGGCCCACACAGAUGAAGAAGGAACACAAGGAGAAGUAGCAGAUCUCCAGAAAUGGUCUGGUACAGGUAUAAGCUGGGGAGAGGAACACAGUGUGAUAGAAAAGUAGGAGGAACUCCUGUAAUACCAUAGGGCAUGACUGAGCAAUGGACCUUACUGUGGCAGAGGUGGAAGACAGCAGACAACAAUCAGGUGAUUCAGUUGGUAAAACCUAUGUAGGAUAGUAAGGAACUCCAGAAAACACUGGGCAACUGCAGAGAUGGUCUGAAAAAACAUUGGGCAGCUGCAGAAAUGGUCCAAAACCCUCUCUGCUCCUUCCCUACUUCUAUCCAACUCAUGCAAUUAAGUGAGUCAAAAGGGUUCAGUACUUUUUUUUUUUUACAGUGCCCCAUGUGAAGUAGUGCAAAGCGGUCAAAGAGGAUAUUCUGCUCCACUGUGUCCCAUUAGCUGACAUAUAUCUCACCAGGCUGGGAUGGGAAUCCAAUGUUACUGCCAUACAAUGCCAGCUGGUUGCAUAGGCAGGCAAAAAUGUGGGGAAAUGACCCUGUAAUGAGUUAAAUCAAGGUCACCGCCUGCAAACCUGGGUAAAAGCCAACAGGGAUGGAUUGAUAUUCAAUUAAAUUGACUUAAAAAAGGAAAUCCAACUUGACACAUGCCUGAGCGGGGACAUAUUCCAGAAGCUGAGCUUAUUAUGGUAUUACUGGGUGCCAGUUUUGAAGGACUGGGAUUUGUAGCGUGUGGCUAAGGUGACUCUGGAUCAGCCAUUUCCUGCUUAUGUUCAGGUCAGAGGGGAUUUAGGCAGCUUUUCUGUGUUUUUCACUUAAGGUCUGACAUUUUAGCACAGCAGAAACCCCUGCAUGACCACACACUUGAUAACUCUGACCUUCUGGAGUUUUCAGUGACCCUCACUAGAAAGAACUCUUAUUCCUACCUCACUGAUAGGCUUCAACACUUCCUCAUGGCAUGGAUAGAAAUAGUAGCCAGUUUGGAAAUCAUCAUUUCACAGCCUAGAAAACCAGAAAAAAUACCUGUCUGAAUACUCUGUGGGCUUAACACUCCUUACUACCUCCCUCCAGUGCCAGAGGGAAGGAAAUUUCCUAUUACAUGGUGCGCUGAUGACCAGAACCUAUUCCCCUGUUAGGUGCAUAAAUGGACUUAAGUGCCUAUAGCAAGAGCUGGGGCCAAGUCCCUGCUAUACCCCCACAGUGCCUGCUGCGCCAGUGGGAGACUUACCCAGUUGGGUCCAGGCAAGUAGCGUGCACCCCAUGUGCUGGAGAAAAAGGUCCAGGUGAGGACAGGGAGAUGGGCAGGCACUGGGGGCUGGAGAACACAUGCCCCAGGGUUCCUGCACUGAUUUGGCCUGGGAAGAAGACCAAGCAGCUUAAAGGGAGAUGCCAAAAAAUGCAUGGUGUUCAGCAUGUCCAGGAGCAGACACUGCACAGCAUGACCAGAACAGAGAGAGACUAGUGGAGCUGAGCCCAGCCAGCUGAACCCUUGUGAAGCUUUGUGACACAGAUGAGCUAUGAGCAAGGAUCACUCCCUGUAUGCCCAGAGAGAUAAAUAACCACGGGUGGUGGGGUAGUAUGGGUUGUCCCAACAAGUCCAUGGGACAAGUGGGGGAAUACCGUGGGGAACAGUUAGUCAACACUGACUGGGAAGAGGAAAAGGAUGGACCCACCGAGUGGAGAGGGACCUAAAGAAGAAUGUAGAUGGCCAGGGCAAGGAGAGAUUUGCAUGGCCCACCAGGGAAAACAUAAGCAGGACUUAAACCGGAUGAUGGUAGCCUAACAGAGCAUCUGAGCUCUGAGGGAAGCCAAUGUGAUCAAAACUCUUUUUUUCUGUAUUCAGGGAUUAGGAAUAACAGUGACAAAGAAAAAGAAUCCAUCCCUUUUGGUUUAGCAUCUCUGGGUAAAUGAGGGGCAGCUGGGGAAGAUGGAUGCCGUUUUGUGUUUAAUUUAUGGUUAACAUGGUCCUACACCCUGCAUCAGGGUAUUUAAAUGAUUUGGUCUACUGGGCCUGAAGCAAGGCUGGAAGAGAUCCUGAAGCAUGAAAUGAAUUGAUCCAGGAAAAAACUCAAGGAAGAGGCAAAAACUACAACAAAGGGAGAGAGAGAGAGGAGAAGACAAGUGAAGCAUAACCCAAUUAGUUAAAACAAGGAGGGAUUCGACCAGAGGAAACUAAUGCCAGGAAGCUGUGGAGUAAAUAACUAGGCUGAGUUCAGGAAUAGACUUUACUAGAUGUCUCACACUCCAGAUCACUGAAGAAUAGUGACCAGAAGAAGGGUGUAGGGGAGGUGGAGCCCUGCAGAAGACCAGCAUCCCUGGAAACUGACUUCUGCUAUUUGGACCAUCCAUCCUCCCAAACAUCAUUAUACCAUCAAGGUAUGGCAGGUAAGUGGGGAGGAUGAUCCAAAGGUCAAGAUAAUUCCAAUGCGGCAAGGGGAGGCAGAAAGAUGCACAUUCUCACAGUGCCUAAAUGUGAAUUCCUGAAAAAAAUUCCUGUGAGUUCCUGAAAAACAUAAAAGGGGAAAACAUAACAUAACAGCUAUCAUAAAAAGUGGGUAUCUCCUACUCCAGUGCUUUUUUGUGACUCAGCUGUAAGGGUAAGUUAACAGUAUGUUACAAAAGUAGAUGCUUUCAUGGAUUUUCAGUACACAAACAGAGUAAAAUAGCACUUAGGUGCCUAAGUCCACUUAGACACCCAAUAAGUGGAAUAGAAUCUGGUUCUGAUGUAUAACAUCACUGUAAGAUGUUGCAGAGAACACAGUGCUGGGAGUCCUGCCUAAUAGAAAUGCAUGUUCUGGGAGCAAGCAAAAGCACAGAUCAAAGAUGAAACCUGUAUGGCUUAGGGGAAGCACAAUGGCCUACAGAGACAUUCCUCUGCAGGUCAGUGGGUCAGCUUCUUCCCAGGUUAGCAGUGACAGCUCCUUUUUACCAUUGGUCAGUAAGAAUGGUACAGGAGCUGUUCUACUAUUUCAGUAAGAAUGGUACAGGAGCUGUUCUACAUUGCCAACUCACUAACAUGUGUCACAAAAUCUUUUUUUUGUGUGAGGGAAGCAAGCAGGCUAGAUGCAGUUGUCCUAUAAUGUAAAUAUCUUUGGACAAAAUGGCAUCAGGCUGCAUUGUGGUGAGCCAACAUUGAUAGCUUCACAAGAGCAGUUUCUCCCAUCAGAUACAUAGCAAGUUUAUAUGCUUACCACAGUGAUAUUAACAGUCUGAGAAGUACUGAAAUCCUGUCAUCUAGUCUAGUAUGCAGUGCAUGGGCUUAAGAGUUCAGAAUUCAUGAGUUCAGUUCCAUGUUUAUCAUUAUCUUUCUGUACAAUGGCCUGAACCAUUCUGCCUCUGUUUCCAUUAGGGAACUAAGAGGUUAACACUGAUGGGGUGCCCUUAGGAGAGAAGCGACAUAUGUCUGCAGGAGUUGCAUCAAGGAAACUUGCCUUGCCACUCUUUAUGAUGUGCCAGUUGUGUGGAUGAAGAGGGACUUCCUCUCCAAGUCUCCCCGCCCGGCACCUCUCAGCAGCAGGAAAUUUACUGGGCAAAUAAAAGGAUGAAAUAUCAACAAAGUAAGAUGGGAAGGGCAGUGGUGGCUGUGAUGGAUGGCUCUCACAUCUCUGUUCCACGUGUGGCCGCCUCUGACACACAGCUGCCCAGAAUAGUCUCACCAUCUGGUUUCCAACCUUCCAACAAUGGAAUCACCCUGCAUUUCCCCCUGCGAUUACAAAAUGUGAAUUGAUGCAUCAUCUCCUUUUAACUCUCCCUUCUUUUAUCCUUUUUUAAUAUAUAAUUCAGGUUUGUCCCUUAGAAAAGAGAGGGGAAGAUAAUGUCUGCAAAGCAUUUAAUCUUCUGCCCAAAGAACAGCAGAGAGCAAAUUAGGAUCUACUCCAAUUAAUUUGCCCUGAUGGGUAAAAUCUGGAAAGCAGCCAUAUCUAGGAAUUAAGAACAAAGCAGGGAGUGUAAAGUAGGUCACUGGGGUUUCAUAACCGGUGAGUUGGGCUGUCAACAUGUGCCAAGCACUCCAAAGGUGUGCACAGUUCUACAGGGGUGAACAUGCAGCUUCUGGCAGAUACAGUACUGUGCACACCAAGCCCCACUGCCAGCUGGGGACUCUCCAGUGGCUGAGAUAAGAAGGAGUUGGUUCUGAUUCUGGAGGCAAAGGGGAUGUUCUCCUGGGCAUGGAGAGGAUUUCAGCUUCAAGGGAGAAGGCUGGUGGGCCAAUGCACUGUGGGAGCUUGAUGGCUAUGUCUCAGAGUUAGGGUGGGGUGGAGGAGAGGAUGUCAAAGAGAUGGGACCAUAGUGCUAUAAAAUGGUUCUUGCUCUUCCCUUUCACUCCAUCAUCUCUCCUAGUUACUUCUUUUCCCAGAUGACCCUACCCAACUCCUAAUCACCUUGUCCCCAUCAUGAGUUUUUAAACCACUCUGCCAGCCCCUUCAGUAUUCCCAAUGGGGAAAUUCCCACUAACAGUCCCCUCCUCCUCCAGAUCUCUGAGCACUCCCCCACAGCAUCACCUCAGCACUGACCCCCCUCUAAGGCCCCCCAGCAUACCAAACACUACUUCACUAGUUCGCCUACUGUCUCCUCAGCUGCACCCAUCCCCUCAACUCCCUUCUUUCUCUCUCCCCAAUCCAGUGCCUCCCUUCUGGGUCUCAAUUCCCUUCCACUGCCAGUUCUCUGAGCACUGCUCUCCUCUGCUCCUUGCUUUGGUUGUAAGGGUGAAAGAGGUAAAUUCAUACCUCCACCCCUUAAAUAUGUUUAGCUCUGUGUGAACUGUAAAACAUGACAUGAAGUCCCUUCUCAGGAUUCUUUCCUGUUGCCAAGAGAGUCUGGGGCCCUGCAUGCUGUGGCAAGCUCAGGCUGAUUUUCUGUACUGGAUUCAAUAAGCAGGUUCUGGUAAACAGAAGUAGAUCCAAAGCACAGGGAGGCAUUGGCUUUCCCAGCAAUACAAGAACUGUGGCAGCUGAGAGCAAUUGUUUGCAGCUGGUGCAGUGCACCAGCCACAAUGGGAGAUCAAAGGAGAGGGUAGCCAUGGCCAGUCUUGCUCUGCUGGACUUCUGGGCAAGGAUAAUAACCUGGUGCAUGCUCAAAACACUGGACUGGAACUGAUAUAUUUUAAAUGGAGUGAUAGGAUGGGCCCUGAGGGUGGCCACUGCAAACCCUAGGGGGCAUCCUAAUCCUGCCUGUACUCCAGGUCCUCUGUAUUGUAUUUCCUCUAAAGAGAAACUGUGUUAAGAGUUUUCUAGGUACAAGGGGAACCUGGAACAGAAGGGAAAAACUGUCUGAUUGUUCCAGGUUCAAGCCGAGGGGGUGGUCAUGAUGCUCCCUGGUGGCUGAGUGGCUCCUGCCCAGCUCCAUCUGUAAUGUAGCCUUCCCUUGAUUGCUUGUGUGCUAUGCUUUGUUGUUACUGAGAUUAAGUAAGAGCGGCUGCCCACAGGCCUUAGAGUGAGCCUGAGUCCAACCAGCUAAUGAACAGGUCCCUCCCAGACCCCACAAGUCUUGAUCCAGCCCUUAUGAUAAAUAGGCCCUCUCAGCCUGUCUAUGCCCAUGAAGGGUGCAUGAAACAUGAAGCCUUAGAGGGAAAAUUUUGUAGCUCCAUUCCUCCCCUACACUAUGCCCCAAGGUUUGUGGGUGUUAGCCCUUCUGAUGAUCCUUCUCUGUAGCCCUUCUCAGGACUCUCAGCCCCCUGGAUCUCUCCACCCUCUCUUUCUGGGCCCUUGGACCCCUGGCCCCUUGGACUGGCCCCUCACUUGAGCCCUUUGUUUCCUUGCUCAGCCCCUACCUGGACCCAUUGGCUCUGUUCCUUUGCUCAGCCCCUGCCUGGGCUUGUGGGCUCACUGUACCCCAGUCGCCCCUUUUCUUGGCUGGUGGGCUCUCUGCAUCCCUGCUCAGCCCCUUCUCUGGACUGGAGAACCCUCUGUAGGCCUUUAGCCCAUCUCCAGUAGGGUUCAAGUCUUGAAACUCAAACAAUGGUAUCAACAUAAAGCAAAGGCCCCUUGCCUCAUAAACCCUUCCUUCUCUGCCCUGGGUAAUAUUCUUUUGUUCCCAGGCCUGCAGGGUUGUUUCUACUACCUUCCUUGGUCCUCUAGAAGCACUUCUGCCCUACUGCAGAGAACUCCUCUCCUUGGGCUCUCAGAGCUAGACUACCUGACCCGCUUAGGCAUGGGGGGAUUAUCUAGCCCCAGCCUGGCCCUCUUGUCAGGUGAGCCUCCAAUAAGCCACCAGCCACCUGGAAGCUGCCUCUCAGGCAGCUUGUCUCCUUAAAGUGGCAGGAGGACCACAAUGCCCUGCUACACUGAUGACUAGUAGGCUUGUGUGAAGCAGCAAGUAUUCAAUUCAGAUUCAGCCAAUUCAGAGGUGUCGGGAUCCAGGGCAGCCGGCCAGCAGCUCUCCCUGACUCCCACCCGGGCAGAUAAGGGUCUGGGGCCUUAGAAGGCCGUCAGGCGGGUACUUGUGAUGCUUGGAGUGGAAUUAAUUAGGCGGACGCUUAUCGGUUGCAAAGCAAGAUUAUUUACUCACGCCAUCAAGGUGGUGAAGGACGGAGGUCAGAGAUACUUGGUUAGUUAUAGCUUAAGGUUCGUAGGUCGUAGGUCGGUCUGCAUAAGAGUUUGGUGGUCGCGCAGAGAAAUGGUCGGGCCAGCAGGUCGUUGAUUUACGUCUGAGAAUUGGGUCGAGACGGGGGAAACUGACAAGUGAUCAAUUUGUCAGUUACUCUCACACAUACGUUCAGAGGUUUUUUAGGUGUGUGUGCAGAGGUCUCCCGUUCUUCACGGAAGUGAAGACGAGUUUUAUUUGUGUAAUAGCCAAUUGCUUUUCGCCACGUCAUAAAUGUAAUUAGAAUCGCCAAUUAUCUAGCGGUCUUCGCUAGGGUCUUAUCACCGGGUUAUUCCUUGUUUUCUUUGACCGAUUAUAAUGAUUUAUGUACAGCACAGAAGGCUAAGUUCUAUUUUAUGUUGGUGUCGCAGUUAUAAAUUUCUUUGGCAUGCGCAGAAAAAAAGCGGUUACUGGUAAAAACUUUUGUUAACCCUUAGUUAACCUAGUGUAAAAUAAAACUGUUUUGAAUGGUU